rnacentral:hammerhead_ribozyme from 1 species
AUUCAGCUGACGAGUUCCAAAUAGGACGAAAUGCAGCCCCUGGAU